rnacentral:rRNA from 1 species
CGCGUAGGCUGUUGAGUAAGUCAAAUGUGAAAUCCCCGGGCUUAACCUGGGAACUGCAUUCGAUACUGCUUAACUAGAGUAUGGUAGAGGGAAGUGGAAUUCCGGGUGUAGCGGUGAAAUGCGUAGAUAUCCGAGGAACACCAGUGGCGAAGGCGACUUCCUGGGCCAAUACUGACGCUGAGGUGCGAAAGCGUGGGGAGCAAACA